UGCAAGGUGCCAAAAAUCUUCAUUUUACUGCCGGGGACAUCUAAUUUUCUUCCCUAUCUCAUAGAAGGAUGAACAGAACUACGUAUUCAUCCCAUAAAAACAAAAAUAAUUUUUGAUGCACCACUCGAACGAUGGCACAUUCCAAGGGCAAGAAGGAGCCUCAGUUUUUGUUGUUACAAAUACUGCGCAAACAAUACAUUUAUUCGAUAUAUAUUCGAAAAACCGCUUACGGCUGCUUUUUCACGCUGAUUGACGUUAGCGCAUCACGUUAAAGCCAAUCAGCGCAUUCCGUAUAUUUAUGAAAGUGCACUUUGAACAGCUAAUCAGGAAUGUGCAUUGAGUCGCCCUUUUGGCUUUUCCUUGGCUUUUCCCGCUUUUUUCAUCGAGUUUGAGUGCUGUUGGGGAAUGGGGCGAAUAAUCUCGGAGAUGAGUCAGUCUUACAUCUAAGGAGCAAAUAUGCCUUUUUGUUUUGUGCCUCAAUGCAGUCAUUCCAGCGCCAGGUCCCAGUCCAAGUGCUCCUUGUUCUUCCGAUUGCCCCGGGACGAGGGGGAGUUGAAGAAAUGGACUACACUGAUGAGGAGACAAGAUGCAAAGCCCAAUGAGCAUUCAAGAGUGUGCUCUUGUCAUUUUAGGAAUGGCAAGAAAGAAGCUGGUCCAACCCUAUUUGCUUGGAAUGACUUCAAGAGAAGCUUCAAGUGGCCACGGCUUGACCUUCGCGUCAUCACCCUGUAUUCACGACUGCGAACCUUCAUUCGACUGCGACAUGCGGCGGGACUCCGACGGAACGACCACAUUCAGAUGCUGGUGGCCCGUCAGGCUCAGAAGCCAUCUACAUCCUCGAAGCCUGUGGUGGCGACUAAGCGGCGCUUCUUGAAAGCUAAGCAGUUUGCACGCGGAGCGUCCCACCUGUGAGCGGCUUCAUUGCUGCUGACGUUUCCUGACGUUGGGCUGUGCGACGCUCUUACCGGUCGCUGUACCUGGCCGUACUGCAGCCCACCUGGGGCUGGCGGCCGCCCUGCCGUGACGGUCGCACGCCGUUGUACCUGGCCGUACUGCAGGGCUGGCGGCCACCCUGCCGUGACGGUCGCACGCCGCUGUACCUGGCCGUACUGCAGCCCACCCGGAGCUGGCGGCCGCCCUGCCGUGACGGUCGCACGCCGCUGUACCUGGCCGUACUGCAGGGCUGGCGGCCGCCCUGCCGUGACGGUCGCACGCCGCUGUACCUGGCCGUACUGCAGGGCUGGCGGCCACCCUGCCGUGACGGUCGCACGCCGCUGUACCUGGCCGUACUGCAGGGCUGGCGGCCGCCCUGCCGUGACGGUCGCACGCCGCUGCACCCGGCCGUACUGCAACCCACCCGGAGCUGGUGUCGCAGAUGCCAAGCUGCGAGAUGACGGGGGUUAUCGGCCGUCGUCCAAACGGUGCGCGCGGGCCCUCAUCUUGUCCGACGGCGCGCCCACUUCGCGACUGGCUCCGACCUCGCUUGGCGUUGGUACAAGAGCUGCCGGGAGUCGCCCUGCAUCCUCGGCGGGGAGCCGAGAUUCCGGGCGGGCCGACUCCAACGUUUCCACACGAUAUCGCUUUGAUAGCCAGGUUUCUUUCAAUGAUUAUUUCUGUAAUCGGUCACGAGGCGAAUCCUCGUUGAGCCUAAUUUGUUCUCCAGUCUGCUAAGUCUGGUUUGCUUUGUUGAUGACUUUGUGGUGUUAACGUGCCAAACCACAUGCUGUACUAUUAAAGGGUGUCAAAACGAGUUAUGCUUAACAGCUAUAUAAACUACGCCUGGAGUUUGCUCUGAUAUGAAUUGCGUUUUAUCAUUAUGACCUAACCAAAUAACUUGAGUGAGGUAGUUGGAAAGUACUUAGCAUAAUACGUGGCCGCUGGCUUCGUUCCCCAAGCGCGACGGCUCGCCGUUUUCAACGUUCGUCUGCGCACUGUACAUCUGCAGCCCAGUAAUCAAUAAAUGGCACAGGUACUC
rnacentral:lncRNA from 1 species